CCUACGGGCGGCUGCAGUGAGGAAUAUUGGUCAAUGGACGAGAGUCUGAACCAGCCAAGUAGCGUGAAGGAUGACUGCCCUAUGGGUUGUAAACUUCUUUUAUAUGGGAAUAAAAUGUUCCACGUGUGGGAUUUUGUAUGUACCAUAUGAAUAAGGAUCGGCUAACUCCGUGCCAGCAGCCGCGGUAAUACGGAGGAUCCGAGCGUUAUCCGGAUUUAUUGGGUUUAAAGGGAGCGUAGGUGGAUUGUUAAGUCAGUUGUGAAAGUUUGCGGCUCAACCGUAAAAUUGCAGUUGAAACUGGCAGUCGUGAGUACAGUAGAGGUGGGCGGAAUUCGUGGUGUAGCGGUGAAAUGCUUAGAUAUCACGAAGAACUCCGAUUGCGAAGGCAGCUCACUGGACUGCAACUGACACUGAGGCUCGAAAGUGUGGGUAUCAAACAGGAUUAGAUACCUCAGUAGUC
rnacentral:rRNA from 1 species